AAGCGCAUGCAGGCGGUUUGUUAAGUCAGAUGUGAAAGCCCGGGGCUCAACCUCGGAACCGCAUUUGAAACUGGCAGGCUAGAGUCUUGUAGAGGGGGGUAGAAUUUCAGGUGUAGCGGUGAAAUGCGUAGAGAUCUGAAGGAAUACCAGUGGCGAAGGCGGCCCCCUGGACAAAGACUGACGCUCAGAUGCGAAAGCGUGGGUAGCAAACAGGAUUAGAUACCCUGGUAGUCCACGCCGUAAACGCUGUCUACUUGGAGGUUGAGGUUUAAGACUUUGGCUUUCGGCGCUAACGCAUUAAGUAGACCGCCUGGGGAGUACGGCCGCAAGGUUAAAACUCAAAUGAAUUGACGGGGGCCCGCACAAGCGGUGGAGCAUGUGGUUUAAUUCGAUGCAACGCGAAGAACCUUACCUACUCUUGACAUCCAGAGAACUUUCCAGAGAUGGAUUGGUGCCUUCGGGAACUCUGAGACAGGUGCUGCAUGGCUGUCGUCAGCUCGUGUUGUGAAAUGUUGGGUUAAGUCCCGCAACGAGCGCAACCCUUAUCCUUGUUUGCCAGCACGUAAUGGUGGGAACUCCAGGGAGACUGCCGGUGAUAAACCGGAGGAAGGUGGGGACGACGUCAAGUCAUCAUGGCCCUUACGAGUAGGGCUACACACGUGCUACAAUGGCAGAUACAGAGGGCAGCGAAGCUGCGAAGUGGAGCGAAUCCCUUAAAGUUUGUCGUAGUCCGGAUUGGAGUCUGCAACUCGACUCCAUGAAGUCGGAAUCG
rnacentral:rRNA from 1 species